rnacentral:rRNA from 1 species
GGGUUGUGAGGUUAAGCGACUAAGCGUACACGGUGGAUGCCCUGGCAGUCAGAGGCGAUGAAGGACGUGCUAAUCUGCGAUAAGCGUCGGUAAGGUGAUAUGAACCGUUAUAACCGGCGAUUUCCGAAUGGGGAAACCCAGUGUGUUUCGACACACUAUCAUUAACUGAAUCCAUAGGUUAAUGAGGCGAACCGGGGGAACUGAAACAUCUAAGUACCCCGAGGAAAAGAAAUCAACCGAGAUUCCCCCAGUAGCGGCGAGCGAACGGGGAGGAGCCCAGAGCCUGAAUCAGUGUGUGUGUUAGUGGAAGCGUCUGGAAAGGCGCGCGAUACAGGGUGACAGCCCCGUACACAAAAAUGCACAUACUGUGAGCUCGAUGAGUAGGGCGGGACACGUGGUAUCCUGUCUGAAUAUGGGGGGACCAUCCUCCAAGGCUAAAUACUCCUGACUGACCGAUAGUGAACCAGUACCGUGAGGGAAAGGCGAAAAGAACCCCGGCGAGGGGAGUGAAAAAGAACCUGAAACCGUGUACGUACAAGCAGUGGGAGCCUCUUUUAUGGGGUGACUGCGUACCUUUUGUAUAAUGGGUCAGCGACUUAUAUUCUGUAGCAAGGUUAACCGAAUAGGGGAGCCGAAGGGAAACCGAGUCUUAACUGGGCGUUAAGUUGCAGGGUAUAGACCCGAAACCCGGUGAUCUAGCCAUGGGCAGGUUGAAGGUUGGGUAACACUAACUGGAGGACCGAACCGACUAAUGUUGAAAAAUUAGCGGAUGACUUGUGGCUGGGGGUGAAAGGCCAAUCAAACCGGGAGAUAGCUGGUUCUCCCCGAAAGCUAUUUAGGUAGCGCCUCGUGAAUUCAUCUCCGGGGGUAGAGCACUGUUUCGGCAAGGGGGUCAUCCCGACUUACCAACCCGAUGCAAACUGCGAAUACCGGAGAAUGUUAUCACGGGAGACACACGGCGGGUGCUAACGUCCGUCGUGAAGAGGGAAACAACCCAGACCGCCAGCUAAGGUCCCAAAGUCAUGGUUAAGUGGGAAACGAUGUGGGAAGGCCCAGACAGCCAGGAUGUUGGCUUAGAAGCAGCCAUCAUUUAAAGAAAGCGUAAUAGCUCACUGGUCGAGUCGGCCUGCGCGGAAGAUGUAACGGGGCUAAACCAUGCACCGAAGCUGCGGCAGCGACGCUUAUGCGUUGUUGGGUAGGGGAGCGUUCUGUAAGCCUGUGAAGGUG